GUAGAAGUUGAUUCAGUGAUAAAAAAGGGACAUAAGGAAAUUAAAGAAAUAGGUAUAGAAGAAUUCCCUAGGAGUACAAUUCUUGCAAUUCUAGGUUGUAAUCUUAUAUCAUGUAUCCCAUACUAAUAGAGAAAAGAAAAAGAAACACUUUGUGUAAAGGGAAAAGGACAAGGGUUACGCAAGAGUUUCUGAUUUUUUUUUUUCAAUUGGGGCAAUAGAAAUGACAGAGAAAAUGUUGGAGUGAGAGAGAUGAAAGAGAAAGGGUUGAGAGGAAUGAGGGAGGUGAGUAAGGGUUUGGGGUUUUUUUUUUUUUUAGUUUUGAAAAUGAAAAUUAUUUAAAUAUCCUUGACCUUAAAACUUAGAAUCCAUGAUAAAUGAGGGUAUUUUUGUCUACUAUAAUUCGGUACACAUAGUUAAAACGUACCAACUGAAAAACAGGCGUACGCGUGUUAACAAACCCCAUAUAUAUAUAUAUAUAUA
rnacentral:lncRNA from 1 species